AUGGUUUUUUCGGUUGAUCUUCAACCAGAAACGGCCAAUUCGCGGCGGUCUUAUGGUGGUAGGCGGUGGUUGGUUUGGAGAAAGAGGGAGCUUGUUGGAGAUAUUGGAGAGCAAAUGAUAAGAGAAGAGGGAGGAAAAUAUAAUGAAAAUGAAUGUUGUAUGGAAGAAAACGAGGAUAUACCCUCCCGCUGCCUCUUUGGAUUGGCAACAUGUGGCCAUUCACUGGCCAUGGGAUGGAAUUAUUUCAUAUGA